UACGUAGGUGGCAAGCGUUGUUCGGAAUUACUGGGCGUAAAGGGCUCGUAGGCGGCCAACUAAGUCGGACGUGAAAUCCCUCGGCUUAACCGGGGAACUGCGUCCGAUACUGGAUGGCUUGAGUUCGGGAGAGGGAUGCGGAAUUCCAGGUGUAGCGGUGAAAUGCGUAGAUAUCUGGAGGAACACCGGUGGCGAAGGCGGCAUCCUGGACCGACACUGACGCUGAGGAGCGAAAGCCAGGGGAGCAAACGGG
rnacentral:rRNA from 1 species